rnacentral:rRNA from 1 species
AUUGAACGCUGGCGGCACGCUUAACACAUGCAAGUCGAACGGCAGCGGGGGGAGCUUGCUCCCUGCCGGCGAGUGGCGAACGGGUGAGUAACGCGUAGGGAUCUGCCUGUUAGAGGGGGAUAAGCCGUGGAAACGCGGUCUAAUACCGCAUACGCUCUAAGGAGGAAAGCAUGGGACCGAAAGGCCCUACGGUAAAAGAUGAACCUGCGUGAGAUUAGCUAGUUGGUAGGGUAAAGGCCUACCAAGGCGACGAUCUAUAGCUGGUCUGAGAGGAUGAACAGCCACACUGGAACUGAGAUACGGACCAGACUCCUACGGGAGGCAGCAGUGGGGAAUAUUGGACAAUGGGGGCAAACCUGAUCCAGCGAUGCCGCGUGUGUGAAGAAGGCCUGAGGGUUGUAAAGCACUUUAGUUGGGGAGGAAAGCCUGAGGAUGAAUAAGCCUUAGGGGAGACGUUACCCAAAGAAUAAGCACCGGCUAACUCUGUGCCAGCAGCCGCCGUAA